CGCCCCGCCCCUCCCCGCGCGCCGGCUGCGCGGGCCUCGUUGUCAAUGGGCGCGCGGGGCUGGUAGUCCGCGCGGCGGUCAGAAUUUGCUGUUCCUUCUAAAGAUUGCCAGGAUGAUCAUGCAGAUCUAUCAAAUAAAAGGAAAAAAAAUUCAGCAAGCUUACCCAGAUUCUGCUAUCCCUACAAGGUUGCAUCUGAAAGAUUGAAGAGAUCCUAAGCCUCAGUGAGGCACCGUGGUGUGGGGAGAGUCAUGGCCGAGUGGGAAGAGCCUGGACCAUGAAUGCAGACCAACCUGCGUACCCAUCUUACAGCUAAGAAAACUGAGCCUUUGAGGGGUUGACUAACUUGUUCAAGGUCACAAAGUCAUUAAGUAGUAAGCCAGUGCUCCUUUUACAGGUUUGCAGACUAUUUGAGAAAUAGCGUGUUAUAUAAAUAUAUGAAGCAGGCUUCCUAGACUCAGAAAGCUUACAAACUCAGAACACACUCAUAUUCUGGUCCCCCUCAAAGGAAGUGAAGAUGAGAACAUCCCAGUUCUCUGAGUUAUUAGUGAUUAGAUAAUACCACAAGUGUUUAUUUUGUCCACAAUUAAUUCCUGUGGGAAUAGGGAAAUUACAGUCCUGACAUCAGGAUUGGGGGACAGACACUUAGAUCGAGGACAGAUUCCAUUUAGCUUCAUUUCAUAUGAUCCGCAGAAUUAUAUUUCUCUGAUUAUUGCUGUUGGCCAGAGAAUAACGCUCAUUUACCCCACCCUCAGUCAGCUGUCCCCCUUGCCACACACACUGUUCAGCAUAUUUUUAAUUUUAAAAGUAGGUAACUAGAAUGUUUUAUAUUCUCUCUAAAAGGAACAACAGCAAAGCCGACAUUAAGUUGUUUUUUACUACGUAUGGCUCCUAAUUCUGGAGGACAGUAAUUUGUGACAUAAGCAAGAUUCCCUGACUGUGACUGACAGAAUGUGGGCUCUCAAUAGAUGAACUGGAUUUCCCUGUUUGUUACUUUUUGUGGUUACUUUAAUUAAAUAUGCAUGUAUUGACAAUCUACUAUGUAUAAUAUAUUGAUUUAGACUCAAAAAGAGGUUCAGAUAUAAGAGCUGAGAAUCUUGAAACCCCUGGAAUGCUUUCUCAAAACCAUUCACAUCAGAAUCAACUGGGUGCUUGUUAAAAACUCAGUUACCC
ensembl:lncRNA